UACGAAGGGGGCUAGCGUUGUUCGGAAUUACUGGGCGUAAAGGGCUCGUAGGCGGCCAACUAAGUCAGACGUGAAAUCCCUCGGCUUAACCGGGGAACUGCGUCUGAUACUGGAUGGCUUGAGGUUGGGAGAGGGAUGCGGAAUUCCAGGUGUAGCGGUGAAAUGCGUAGAUAUCUGGAGGAACACCGGUGGCGAAGGCGGCAUCCUGGACCAAUUCUGACGCUGAGGAGCGAAAGCUAGGGGAGCAAACGGGG
rnacentral:rRNA from 1 species